rnacentral:misc_RNA from 1 species
UUUCCGUAGGUGAACCUGCGGAAGGAUCAUUACUGAGUGAGGGCCCCUCGGGGUCCAACCUCCCACCCGGGUUUAACGCACCUUGUUGCUUCGGCGGGCCCGCCUCACGGCCGCCGGGGGGCAUUUUUCCCCGGGCCCUCGCCCGCCGACGCCACCUGUGAACGAUGUCUGAAGUAUGCAGUCUUAGAUAAUUAUUAAAUUAAUUAAAACUUUCAACAACGGAUCUCUUGGUUCCG